rnacentral:tRNA from 1 species
UAAAAGAUAAGCUAAAUUUUUUAAGCUUUUGGGCUCAUACUUCAAAUAUAGAUUAUAUCUUCUUUUAA